rnacentral:misc_RNA from 1 species
GGCAGAACUGGGGUCAAGUUGAUAAUUCAAGAUAUGAUUUUUGCUUCUUAUGCGUGAAUGCAUCUCUGACCACUUUGGAUCCAUUUGUCGAUAGAAGAGUUGAUCACAUGGUUGAUGCUGGUCUAUUGAAGGAAGUUCUUGACAUCUACGUUAUGAAUGCAGACUAUACAAAAGGCUUGAGGCAGGCCAUAGGUGUUAGGGAAUUCGAGUCAUUUCUUAGGUGUUACAUACUGGAACAUCAAAAACCUUGUAGUGGAUCUCACGAUCAGACACUAAAUGAUCAGAUAUUGAAGCAAAAUAUACAGCAUUUUGUGGGUUCCCCUGAUGAUAAUGAAUGGAAAGCUCUUCUAACUGAAGCAAUUCAACAAGUCAAAUUGAACACACGGAGACUAGUUCGACGUCAAAGGAGAAGACUCAAUCGUUUGCAGAUGCUAUAUGGAUGGA